CAGCAGCCGCGGGAAUACGAAGUGUGCAAGCGUUAAUCGGAAUUACUGGGCGUAAAGCGCGCGUAGGCGGUUACUCAAGUCAGAGGUGAAAGCCCGGGGCUCAACCCCGGAACUGCCUUUGAAACUAGGUGACUAGAAUCUUGGAGAGGUCAGUGGAAUUCCGAGUGUAGAGGUGAAAUUCGUAGAUAUUCGGAAGAACACCAGUGGCGAAGGCGACUGACUGGACAAGUAUUGACGCUGAGGUGCGAAAGCGUGGGGAGCAAACAGGAUUAGAUACCCGCGUAGUCCCUGUCUCUUAUAC
rnacentral:rRNA from 1 species